rnacentral:rRNA from 1 species
AUGAACGCUGGCGGCGUGCCUAAUCCAUGCCAGUCGAGCGAACAGACGAGGAGCUUGCUCCUCUGACGUUAGCGGCGGACGGGUGAGUAACACGUGGAUAACCUACCUAUAAGACUGGGAUAACUUCGGGAAACCGGAGCUAAUACCGGAUAAUAUAUUGAACCGCAUGGUUCAAUAGUGAAAGACGGUUUUGCUGUCACUUAUAGAUGGAUCCGCGCCGCAUUAGCUAGUUGGUAAGGUAACGGCUUACCAAGGCGACGAUGCGUAGCCGACCUGAGAGGGUGAUCGGCCACACUGGAACUGAGACACGGUCCAGACUCCUACGGGAGGCAGCAGUAGGGAAUCUUCCGCAAUGGGCGAAAGCUUGACGGAGCAACGCCGCGUGAGUGAUGAAGGUCUUCGGAUCGUAAAACUCUGUUAUUAGGGAAGAACAAAUGUGUAAGUAACUAUGCACGUCUUGACGGUACCUAAUCAGAAAGCCACGGCUAACUACGUG